rnacentral:rRNA from 1 species
GACGAACGCUGGCGGCGUGCCUAACACAUGCAAGUCGAGCGGAGUCAGUAAGAGGAAGUUUUCGGAUGGAAUCUUAUUGAUUUAGCGGCGGACGGGUGAGUAACGCGUGAGCGACCAACCUUGCACAGGGGGAUAACGGACCGAAAGGUUCACUAAUACCGCAUGAGACCACGGUGUUGCAUGACACAGAGGUCAAAGGAGCAAUCCGGUGCAAGACGGGCUCGCGUCCGAUUAGGUAGUUGGAGGGGUAACGGCCCACCAAGCCUAUGAUCGGUAGCCGACCUGAGAGGGUGAUCGGCCACAUUGGAACUGAGAUACGGUCCAAACUCCUACGGGAGGCAGCAGUGGGGAAUCUUAGACAAUGGGGGAAACCCUGAUCUAGCCAUGCCGCGUGAUCGAUGAAGGCCUUAGGGUUGUAAAGAUCUUUCAGUGGGGAAGAUAAUGACUGUACCCACAGAAGAAGCCCCGGCUAACUCCGUGCCAGCCGCCGCGGUAA